rnacentral:rRNA from 1 species
AACGAACGCUGGCGGCAGGCCUAACACAUGCAAGUCGAGCGCAUCCAUCAGCUUCGGUUGGGGGGUGAGCGGCGGACGGGUGAGUAACGCGUGGGAACGUGCCCUUUGCUUCGGAAUAGCCCCGGGAAACUGGGGGUAAUACCGGAUGUGCCCUUAGGGGGAAGGAUGUUUCGCCAGGGGAUCGGCCUGCGUUGGAUUAGGUAGUUGGUGGGGUAACGGCCUACAAAGCCGACGAUCCAAAGCUGGUUUGACAGGAUGAUCAGCCACACUGGGACUGAGCCACGGCCCAUACUCCUACGGGAGGCAGCAGUGGGGAAUCUUGGACAAUGGGGGUAACCCUGAUCCAGCCAUGCCGCUUGAGCGAUGAAGGCCUUAGGCUUGUAAAGCUCUUUCGUGGGGGAAGAUAAUGACUGUACCCCAAGAAGAAGCCCCGGCUACCUCCGUGCCAGCCGCCGCAGUAAAAC